CUUUGCUCUUUCUCCGCCGCAGCGCCAACACUUCCUCCGCCGCCUCCUUCCUCUGUUCCAAUUUUGGAGGCCAGCCAUAGCUAGAAAGUUCCAGUCUCCACCUCUGUAUGUUUUUUUUUCAUUCCCCAAUUCUUAAACUCGCCGGAGUUCCUGCAAAACACCGGAACUUCAGGAGGCAAGCAAAGAAGAACAUUUUGUUACAUGGCAUUUGGAGGGCGAGGACGUAAUGGCUUUGGUGGUGGUGGCUUUCAUGCUGCCAAGCAAGUGAAAUUUGAACUAUUUCCAACAUGCAGAAGUUGGAUGUCUUUGAAAAGCUUGAGCAGAAGUGUCAGGUAAGAGUGCCACUGCUUGUUUUAAGCACUGCUUUCUCUCUUUCAGUAGAGAAGAUUGAAACACCAAACAGCAGAAGUAAAAGAAAGUGAUUUCUUUAUUCAGUAGCACAAUAGAAGUAAGGAUUCUUGAGAAGAUGAAUGUAUCUUUCUACUCGCUUUCUUCGCUUGUCGUAGUUGGUUGUCUUGAUAAUUCUGUUUCUAUUCACCUCAAAUGCAAUAGGGUCAAGAAAUAAAUGAGGAGGAGGGGGAUGAAGAGGAGGAAGAAGAUGAAAACGUUGAAGAGGAAGAAGAGGAGUAUAGUGAUGAUGGUGAUUAUAAUCUGGUAUUUGUAACAAUCAAGACUGUUAGCACUCACCCCCCCCCCCCCAGAGUUCCCUGCCUGGGUGGAGGGGGGUGUGGGAUCAACUGUUAGCACGGCAAAUAUUUGUCAUAGCAAAUAUCAUAGAUGCAUGCAUCUGGUAUAGAUGCACCAAAACUCUGAAAAUUGUUGCAGAACAUUGAUUUUGAUGAUGACGAAGACGACUUUAACAUAAGUGAUGAUGAUGAUGGUGAACCAGAAUUGUAAAUGUCCUUAUCCAGCAUCCUUCUAGUUGGGACCAAAUUUUGCAGAGAAAGAAACAUCCUUGUCCUCUUGCAUAAAGCUGGAUUCAGGCGCUUGGAGAUUCACCAAAGUUUACUCCGUCAAAUCUUGAUGGUCCAGUUUUUCCAGUGUAUAGAGGCAUGCAUAGUUUUGUCUCGGUUGUAAGUUGUUGGAGUUGGGAGUGAGGGCUGGAGCUUUGCUUCAUUUUGAUAGCAUGAAAUGAAAUUGCACCUUGAAGUCAAAAAUUGUAGCGUCAUGCCGGAGGGCUUGAGAUACUCGUUGUAUUUUUGUACUCUUUAAUCCUUUAAUCCUGAUCUUGGGCGUUGG